rnacentral:rRNA from 1 species
UGGGGGAUAUUGCACAAUGGGCGAAAGCCUGAUGCAGCGACGCCGCGUGGGGGAUGAAGGCCUUCGGGUUGUAAACUUCUUUUGCUCUGAACAAGGCAUGCUAAUGGGUGUGUUGAGUGUAGGGGUUGAUUAGCGCCGGCUAACUACGUGCCAGCAGCCGCGGUAAUACGUAGGGCGCGAGCGUUGUCCAGAAUUAUUGGGCGUAAAGGGCUUGUAGGUGGCUGGUUGCGUCUGUCGUGAAAGCUCAUGGCUUAACUGGGGGUUUGCGGUGGGUACGGGCUGGCUUGAGUGCAGUAGGGGAGGCUGGAAUUCCUGGUGUAGCGGUGGAAUGCGCAGAUAUCAGGAGGAAUACCGGUGGCGAAGGCGGGUCUCUGGGCUGUUACUGACACUGAGGAGCGAAAGCAUGGGGAGCGAACAGG